AGAGUUUGAUCAUGGCUCAGAACGAACGCUGGCGGCAGGCUUAACACAUGCAAGUCGAACGCAUCCUUCGGGGUGAGUGGCAGACGGGUGAGUAACGCGUGGGAACGUGCCCUUCAGUUCGGAAUAACCCAGGGAAACUUGGGCUAAUACCGGAUACGUGCGAGAGCAGAAAGAUUUAUCGCUGAAGGAUCGGCCCGCGUCGGAUUAGCUAGUUGGUGAGGUAACGGCUCACCAAGGCGACGAUCCGUAGCUGGUCUGAGAGGAUGAUCAGCCACACUGGGACUGAGACACGGCCCAGACUCCUACGGGAGGCAGCAGUGGGGAAUAUUGGUCAAUGGGCGCAAGCCUGAACCAGCCAUGCCGCGUGAGUGAAGAAGGCCUUAGGGUUGUAAAGCUCUUUCAGCGGGGACGAUAAUGACGGUACCCGCAGAAGAAGCCCCGGCUAACUUCGUGCCAGCAGCCGCGGUAAUACGAAGGGGGCUAGCGUUGUUCGGAAUUACUGGGCGUAAAGCGCGCGUAGGCGGGCAUUUAAGUCAGGGGUGAAAUCCCAGGGCUCAACCCUGGAACUGCCUUUGAUACUGGAUGCCUGGAGUUCGGGAGAGGUGAGUGGAAUUCCGAGUGUAGAGGUGAAAUUCGUAGAUAUUCGGAGGAACACCAGAAGCGAAGGCGGCUCACUGGCCCGAUACUGACGCUGAGGCGCGAAAGCGUGGGGAGCAAACAGGAUUAGAUACCCUAGUAGUCC
rnacentral:rRNA from 1 species